rnacentral:rRNA from 1 species
CUCUUGGCGGCGAGUGGCGGACGGGUGAGUAAUAUAUCGGAACGUGCCCAGUAGCGGGGGAUAACUACUCGAAAGAGUGGCUAAUACCGCAUACGCCCUACGGGGGAAAGGGGGGGAUCGCAAGACCUCUCACUAUUGGAGCGGCCGAUAUCGGAUUAGCUAGUUGGUGGGGUAAAGGCUCACCAAGGCAACGAUCCGUAGCUGGUUUGAGAGGACGACCAGCCACACUGGGACUGAGACACGGCCCAGACUCCUACGGGAGGCAGCAGUGGGGAAUUUUGGACAAUGGGGGAAACCCUGAUCCAGCCAUCCCGCGUGUAUGAUGAAGGCCUUCGGGUUGUAAAGUACUUUUGGCAGAGAAGAAAAGGUAUCUCCUAAUACGAGAUACUGCUGACGGUAUCUGCAGAAUAAGCACCGGCUAACUACGUGCCAGCAGCCGCG